CACAAUGUACAGAAAUGUAAUAUUGAUUAAAAUACCAGGGAAUCAAGUGACAGUUUUUAAACAUGAGAACAACAUUGAUCCAAUUUAAUAUUGCUCAAAACCUGAAAUUCUAAAGCCUAGUUAGUCCCAUCUGCAAUUAAGGUCUAUUUCCUUCACAAUAAAUCCAUCCAGCCUUUUUGAAAUACCUGGUAUAUUUUGCCUUUGGAUGAUGUUGGUUUGUGGACAUGUUGUUGUGUAUUGAUUGAUGUCCUGGUGUUCAGUCUAGGUGUGUUCUUUUGUGUUUGUUUCCACAAUUUGCGUGGAUGUUUUCUGUUCUUCCUCAGCAUUGUUUCAUUAAGUGUUGUGAGUUUCUUAGUCUGAGCUCAUUGUUUACUUUGUAUAUUACUGCAAGAAACCAGGGUCCCAGCGUGUGAUGUAUCCCACAUGUCGGUGAAGCAGUUCCACACCUGCACCAUUUUUAUCCUCCCAUGUUUGUCAAGAAAUAUAUUAUUACAAGAAACCAGGUUCCCAUUGUAGGGUGUGUUCCACAUGUUGUUGAAGCAGUUCCACACCGGCACCAUUUUUAUCCUCCCAUGUUUGUCAAGAAAUAUAUUAUUACAAGAAAUCAGGUUCCCAUUGUAGGGUGUGUUCCACAUGUCUGUGAAGCAGUUCCACACCGGCACCAUUAUUAUCCUCCCAUGUUUGUCAAGAAGUGUGUCCUGCUUCUUCGAGAAUUUGGAGAGAUAAUGAGGUCUCACUUUCUUUGUGUUAAUGCAUUUAUUGACAGACUAAUCUAUUGAUUCCUGCAGCUUUUGCCUGGGGAUGUCAAUUCCACCUGAUUCCUGAGGAAGGGCUUAUGCGUGUAACGUCGAUUCUCCUGCUCCUUUGAUGCUGCCUGACCUGCUGCGCAUUUCCAGUAACAAAUUUUUAACCACCUGGUAAAUCUCAAAGUUAACUAUUGGAUGCAGCUGAUCUUUUAUCAUGUUCCAUAUUUUUGAGUGAACGUCCUAGUUUGCUUCACACAAGUCCAAAAAAUUGACUUUGUGUAAGCUCCUGUUACAAACUGCUGGAUAUAUUUUUACAGUUGGCCUAACGGGUUCUGCAACUUCUGGAUCUAUGUAGCAUAACUGCAUCCUUUGUUUAAUCUUGGACCAGAUAAUCCAUGGCAUUCUAUUCCAUCUUGGUGGAUUUGAUAUCGAUUCUGCUUUGCAUUGAGCUCAGUACUUAUUGUUCGUUUUCUAUUUUGUAGAUGGCAUCCUCUUUUUGUGAUAGCUCUUUUGGGUCAUCAUUCUUCAUGCAGCCCAGCUUUCUUGUCAUUGCUUGAAUUUAGACAAGGUGGAUUUGAAUUAGCUGUCUGCCUGCACAAACCAACACAGUCUACAAAAUAAUCUUAUUGUCUUCUGUUUUCUGGACUGUGCGAACUUCUGGAUUGUAGUUAUACUUUGUUUGCUGUUGCUCCUUUCGGCCUUAAAGCUUGCAAGGCUGGUUUCUUCUUUGAUUCAUUUUACUUAAAAGUAAAUAUGUCAGCUGAAUACCGGGGAACAAUACAAUUGCUUAAAUAAA